GGUAUAGGGACAGCAGCCAAGGCGAGGGCGGGGCGAAGUCUCGGGGCUGGAGAGGAGAGGUCCGCAGUAAGUGGCCGGCCAGUGGCGGGCUACUGAAGAAGAACGUAGGGCAGGGAUCCCCUCCUGGCGCAGCGGAGGUUGGAAGACUGGGCAAGAAAACAUGGUUUGGGGGCCGGACUCGGAAGCAAAGGUGUUAGGGACACAGGGAGAGACUGAGGGAGAAGAUUGUGGCUUGAGAGUAGUGGGAGGCAUAGUUUUUGGCAAUAGCCAGCCAAGGAUACAGGGAACAGGUGCGGCGCCUGCACGCUGACUUCACGUGGUGGAUGUCUGGCUGAGAGAGAAGUAGGAAAUCCUCACAACGCUUCUUCCAGCUUUGAUCUGCCUGGGGCAGCCCGUGGUGGAAGAUGACUCUGUAGCCCUGGUGUCUACCAGUAUCCGGAGUGGGAGCCCCAAGAGCCAUGUAGACAGGCACCCAGCACUGUGCCAGCUAUGUGGGAGUUGGCUGGCUCUGGGGACGAGCUGUUGGCAGUGCAGGUGGCUGGCGACAAGGAUGGAGUGUGAGGCCUCGAGACAGGAUGGCAGGCAGCACAGAAGCCUCCGCACUCAGCAGAGCUGCGGUCCUGGCUGCUCUGAGGAUGGAGACUACAGGAGGACUCGGAAUCCUCUGGGAGUGGAGUUACAGCUGGUUGAGAGCCACGUGAGUGCUGGGAAUCAACCUUGGAACCUCUGGAAAAAGCGGCGAGUCAACCACAACCCAUCGCUCAAGCCCCAUUGCUGGGCCUGGUGACAACGCAUGUCAGUCCUGCCUCAGCCCCCUGAAUGCAUGUUUACAGAUGUGCACCAGAGCACCUGACUCAAGUUUUAAACGAUCAUUUUGAGCACUCCUUCUCAUGGCCAUUUCCCUGUAAAUCAGCAGAGACACUGGGGAAUGGAGCAGUUUGACUCCCAUGGCUGCUGGAGUCUCCUUUACUGCCCCGUCUGUCUUGAGCAACACUGGGCUCUGUCUGUUCUUGUCUGCUUUUAGAGUGGGCUGAGCUGGUAACAUAAAGGAGCAACAGCUGAGUGGCGGUGAUGACGCCUUUAAUCCCAGCCCUCAGGAGGCAGAGGUAGGCAGAUUUCUGAGUCUCAGGCCAGCCUGGGCUACAGAAAAAAAAAAA
rnacentral:lncRNA from 1 species